GACGAACGCUGGCGGCGUGCUUAACACAUGCAAGUCGAACGGUAAGGCUCCAGCUUGCUGGGGUACACGAGUGGCGAACGGGUGAGUAACACGUGGGUGACCUGCCCUGCACUUCGGGAUAAGCCUGGGAAACUGGGUCUAAUACCGGAUAGGACCGCACCGUGAGGGUGUGGUGGAAAGUUUUUUCGGUGUGGGAUGGGCCCGCGGCCUAUCAGCUUGUUGGUGGGGUAAUGGCCUACCAAGGCGGCGACGGGUAGCCGGCCUGAGAGGGUGGACGGCCACAUUGGGACUGAGACACGGCCCAGACUCCUACGGGAGGCAGCAGUGGGGAAUAUUGCACAAUGGGCGGAAGCCUGAUGCAGCGACGCCGCGUGGGGGAUGACGGCCUUCGGGUUGUAAACUCCUUUCACCAUCGACGAAGGGUUUCUGACGGUAGAUGGAGAAGAAGCACCGGCUAACUACGUGCCAGCAGCCGCGGUAAUACGUAGGGUGCGAGCGUUGUCCGGAAUUACUGGGCGUAAAGAGCUCGUAGGUGGUUUGUCGCGUCGUCUGUGAAAUUCCGGGGCUUAACUCCGGGCGUGCAGGCGAUACGGGCAUAACUUGAGUACUGUAGGGGAGACUGGAAUUCCUGGUGUAGCGGUGAAAUGCGCAGAUAUCAGGAGGAACACCGGUGGCGAAGGCGGGUCUCUGGGCAGUAACUGACGCUGAGGAGCGAAAGCAUGGGGAGCGAACAGGAUUAGAUACCCUGGUAGUCCAUGCCGUAAACGGUGGGCGCUAGGUGUGGGUUUCCUUCCACGGGAUCCGUGCCGUAGCUAACGCAUUAAGCGCCCCGCCUGGGGAGUACGGCCGCAAGGCUAAAACUCAAAGGAAUUGACGGGGGCCCGCACAAGCGGCGGAGCAUGUGGAUUAAUUCGAUGCAACGCGAAGAACCUUACCUGGGCUUGACAUAUACAGGAUCGCGCCAGAGAUGGUGUUUCCCUUGUGGCUUGUAUACAGGUGGUGCAUGGUUGUCGUCAGCUCGUGUCGUGAGAUGUUGGGUUAAGUCCCGCAACGAGCGCAACCCUUGUCUUAUGUUGCCAGCACGUUGUGGUGGGGACUCGUAAGAAACUGCCGGGGUUAACUCGGAGGAAGGUGGGGAUGACGUCAAAUCAUCAUGCCCCUUAUGCCCAGGGCUUCACACAUGCUACAAUGGUCGGUACAGUGGGUUGCCAGUCCGUGAGGGCGAGCUAAUCCCGCAAAGCCGGUCUCAGUUCGGAUCGGGGUCUGCAACUCGACCCCGUGAAGUCGGAGUCGCUAGUAAUCGCAGAUCAGCAACGCUGCGGUGAAUACGUUCCCGGGCCU
rnacentral:rRNA from 1 species